AACCAUAGAAACCUGCGGAGUACCUGCGGAAGGAUCAUUACACAAUACAAUAUGAAGGCUGUCCGCAGCUGGAGUAUUUUAUUACCCUUGUCUUUUGCGCACUUGUUGUUUCCUGGGCGGGUUCGCUCGCCACCAGGACCACCAAAUAAACCUUUUUUAUGCAGUUGCAAUCAGCGUCAGUACAAACAAUGUAAGUCAUUUACAACUUUUAACAAUGGAUCUCAGAUCGGAAGAGCACAC
rnacentral:misc_RNA from 1 species